AGCGGCGGACGGUUGAGUAACACGUGAGAAUUUGCCCUUCAGUGAAGAAUAUCUCCGAGAAAUCGGGGUUAAUACUGCAUACGUCCCUUCGGGGAGAAAAGUGGCCUCUUUGCUGCUGCUGAAGGAUAAGCUUGCGGGCUAUCAGCUUGUUGGUGAGGUAAAAGCUCACCAAGGCUAUGACGGCUAGCCGGCCUGAGAGGGUGAUCGGCCAGACUGGGACUUAGGCACGGCCCAGACUCCUACGGGAGGCAGCAGUGGGGAAUAUUGCGCAAUGGGCGAAAGCCUGACGCAGCGACGCCGCGUGGAGGAUGACGGUUUUAGGAUUGUAAACUCCUGUUAAGUGGGAAGAAAGGUUCGCCUCUAAUACAGGCGAAAGAUGACGGUACCAUUAGAGAAAGCACCGGCUAACUUCGUGCCAGCAGCCGCGGUAAU
rnacentral:rRNA from 1 species